rnacentral:tRNA from 1 species
UAUAUUUAGGUGUAUGAUGCACAAAGAUUUUUGAUGUCUUAGGGAAUAGUUUAAAUCUAUUAAAUAUAA